UACAGAGGGUGCGAGCGUUGUCCGGAAUUACUGGGCGUAAAGGGCGCGUAGGCGGCUUGGUAAGUCGGGGGUGAAAGUCAGCGGCUCAACCGCUGGACUGCCUUCGAGACUGCCUGGCUUGAGCAUGGUAGAGGCUGGCGGAAUUCCCGGUGUAGCGGUGGAAUGCGUAGAGAUCGGGAGGAAUACCGGUGGCGAAGGCGGCAUCCUGGACCGAGAUUGACACUGAUGAGCGAAAGCCAGGGGAGCAAACGGG
rnacentral:rRNA from 1 species